rnacentral:lncRNA from 1 species
GUAGAAGUCAGGAAUUGGGGGUUACCUAAGCAAAAACGAAAAUUCAAAAGGGGUAAGGUGUAAAAAUGAAAGCCUAAGACUGCCUACUUGCCUUACCUAUAAAGACAUGUUUUCUUACCUUGAAAGGCAGUUGGAGAUCCUGAAAUCUGAGACUUAGAAAUCUGAAAUUCCAUAGCACUAAAGGGCUAGAUUUUCAUUGUUCUAUUGAGUCUUAAAGAAGGGUUUUUCGGAAUUUCUCUCUUGAAUGAAAACACUUUUGGUGCUGAUGCUAGACAUGGCCGAGAAUCAAGUUUAUUUGGGUUUUCUUUCGUGAUUCACUCGCUUGAUUGGACUUGGUUUUUCUGGGGUUUUUUUGUGUCUCUCUUUCGGCUCAAACUGAUCUUAAAAGUGCUGUUGAGAUCCCAUAAGCUCUCCAUCUUUGGUUUAAUUUUGGUUGGAAAGGCUUUGAAGUCUAUUUGAAUUGGCUGCUUCAGUUACUUAAAUUCAAUUGUGAAGGAAUUUGGUUUUUGAAACUUGUUGCAUUGGUUUUAAACUACUCCUAUGGCUGUUUCUCUGUGGCAUUGCUGGGCAUUUACUGUGUCUAUUGCAGCUGAUCUAUCUUCUUCAUUGUAUUUCCAUUUCAGGUACACAUUCUCAACCUGUGUUGAUGUAACUUAGCUACUGAACAUGAAAUACAAUUGAAGUUUUGUGCGAUGUACUGGAAAUGCAAUUCAAAAUUUGAUUAAGUUUAGAUGUCUCCACAUCUAUUUGAUUGAAUAUUCCCAGUUGUAUUAAUUGAACUAUAUAUUUGAGACAUCCAUCUGGGUUGUAUAACUGUAUAGUUGAUGAUUAGGAUAUAGACAUAGUAGGUUGUAAAGUCAUCAAAAUUGUGUUGGACUCUUGAGAUUUGUUUUAAGCUGAACGAACACUGUUUUAGGUUGAAUUGAUCCAUCAUGAUGGUUGACUUUUAAAUGUUGUUAGUAUAAUAUAGUAUGGGUUACAAAAUAUGACUAUGACCUUGAAACGGUAGUAUAUUUUUUUAAAACAAGUUAUUUGGUGCAAAUGUUAAUUUCAACCGGUAUUUUUUAAUGACUAGCUUCUAAGUUUUAGUACAUUAUGAAAUAGCAUGAGUCAGUGUUAUAACAACUGGCUUGACUUGUCACCUUUAAUAGUAUUUGAAUUAAAUCAGUAGAGAGGUAAUUAAAAUAAUUGAUUGCAUUGCAUUCAUAAUGGUGUAAUAACGUGCUAGUUUAUAGAGGCGUUUAGUUUAGACGCAAUCGUGACUAAGUCGUGUGUUUGGCAGCUUAGGGAAUCGAUCCCUUGACCUCUCCAAGGCCUGCCCAUCUGAGGUGUGUUGGAUCUUGCAGAUUUGGCCCUUUUGGGUCUGAGAUUAAAUAAAAGAGGGGUUAGCAAUACCUCCAAAUGAUAGGCAAUGGACUUCCUCAAAUUGAUGACAGAGUUAUGUUCGUUUUUUGUUCCUUUAACUUAGAGACACAUAAAAUAGAAAAUACAGCCUUCCUCAAAUUCAUGACGGAGUUAUGUUCGUUUUUUGUUCCUUAAACUUAGAGACACAUAAAAUAGAAAAUACAGUCGAUUUUAGGCUUACCCUUUAAAAUAAAAUGAGACGAGCCUCACCAAAUAAAUAUAUAAAUGUGGGGCCCACAUUCAAUGGUUGCUAAAAUAUUUAGAAUUUUGGAGGACCGUUUAGUGAAAUUUACGGCCUUCCCCAAAUAAUAUAGACUCUUUAGACGCGAUUUAAUUAAAAUUACCUUCCUAAACUCGGGUGCGCAGUGAUGUGACCUAAAUUCAAAUCUCUAUUAAGUCAAAAUGUGUUGACAAUCACGGGGCAUUUAUUGCUAUGGGGUUCGAAAUUCAUUUUCACGAUAUCAUAAUUCUUCUAAAUAAAUAAUGAUCGAAAAGGUUUCUAAAAAAGAGACCAGCCUCACCAAACAAUAAUAAAUGUGGGGCCCUUAAUAAUUGGUUGAUAAAAGUGAUCAUAAUUCGAUAGGGCCGUUUAGCAAACUUCAUGGUCUUCCCCAAAAAUAUUACGUUAGAAUAUUUAGGCGUGAUUUAAUUAAAUUACUCCCUUAAACUCGGGUGCGCAUUGAUGUGAACCAAAUCCAAAUCUCGACGAAGUUGAAAUGUCUUGACGACCAUGGGUGCAUUGAUUGCGACGUGGUUCGAAACGUAUUUUCAUGACGUCGUAAUUCUCUUAAAAUAAAUAAGGAUAAAAGCAAUUUACAAAUAAAAGGGCACAUGGGCUAGCAUGUAUUAAAAUUCGAUAAAAUCAAAUGCAACAAUUGAGCAACCGUGCUAGAACCACGAAACCCGGAAAUGCCUAAUACCUUCUCCCGGGUUAACAGAAUUCCUUAUUCGGAUUCUGGUUCGCAAACUAUAACAGAGUCAUAAUUUCCUCGGUUCGGGAUUCAACUGGUGACUUAGGACACCAUUCAUCUCCCAAGUGGCGACUCUGAAUAAUUAAUAAUUAUAUCCCGUUCCGAUUGUCCUUUAAUUGGAAAAACUCCUUUACGCCCUUUGCGGGGUGUAGGUGAAAAAGGAGGUGUGACAACUCUGGCAACUCUUCUGGGGACAAGAACCCAGAACGUUUUUUUCAAGGUUCAGAAUUCAAGCUUAGAAUAAUUUUGUGUUUGGCUUUAUCUGAUUUUGUUACAUGAUCUACGCUUAAUGGGCGAAUUGACUGCUUUUACCGCUUUGAUAUUAUGUGAACUGUAUAUAAACUGCGCUGAAACCUGUCUCCUCUCCGAGUCUUCUAAAUCAUGAAGAAGGGCGCACUUCGUGUUGAACUGUAUAUAAACUGUGCCGACACCAUUCUUUUCACCUCUAGGGAUGUGCUUACUGGUUGAGACUCCCUAUUCUGUUAGUGUCAUACCCUGAAAUAAGAAAGUGGCUGGAUAAGUUGCAAAUCCGGAUGAUCUCGCAGGUUACCGGUACGC